AUGGUUGGUGCUGGUUCCAAUGCUAUUCUUGCCCGCGUUAUGAUGCCAAACUGACCUAAACCACCAAGAACACCAUUAAAUAAGUCGCUGUUCUGCCUCUUUGUACAGUUUAGGAUCUCGCCUUUUCCUGCAGUCAAUAAAUAGGCAUGACAUUAGUGGGUAGCUAUUCUCGGGAAUCUCUUCAUGUUGUUAAUAGUCACCAACCAUAUAGAGUCUAUGCUUUCAAAACACGAAUACUGCAACUCUGAACUAACCUGUGACAAUCUCCAGUUGAUGAACAUUGCUGAUCUGUGGUCCAUGUCGGAAUGCCUGGCCGCUUAUUCCAGCAUUGGACAGAGUACCACCUACAGUUAAAUGCAGGUAAUCCGUCCAUGAUUUUGGUGCAAGCCCGUACUUGAGGGUCUCAUGCAAAAUGUUUAUCCACAGCUCACCACCAGACACAUCAACAUAUGGAGCAGGGGAAUCCACACUGUAGACCUGCAGCUUCUGGGGAUGGAGUGAUUCCAUGUGUAUAACAAUUCCAUGUCUUGUUUGAGCUUGGCCUUGGAGUGAAUGUCCACGACCUCUCGCUGCCACUGUAAGCUGUGAAUGAGUGCCCAUCAUCCAGAUGUGUCGUAUCGUUGAGGCGAUGUCGCUUACCGAUUUGGGAUGUAAGACCGCCAAAGGGAUCAACUGGUAUCGAUUUCCAAAAUCUUUGGAGGCGUGAUGGACAUGUUCAAACUCCAAAUGGCCUACUAGGGGAAGCGCCUUCAAAGAAGAAAUGCUGCUAGAGAAGCAGCAAGCCAACUUAAAGGCUAUGCAGCUGAGAAGCAAGAUGGUGAAACUUCUUACUAUAAGCAUGGUUCUUUUCCUGAGGAGGCUUGCAUGUAGAUAGCUCAUAAGGCCUCUUGAUUUCUGAGAGACAAGAGUAUAGAAACCAAGGAUGGAAAAGGGUUUUUGAUCUUAUAAAUAAAUAAAUAAAAAAGUAGUGUGAUUUCUGAAUGGCCGAGGCAACCAAUCUCCGAAUGGGGACUGAUUGUCUAACAAAGGGUUAUAAAUAGCUUUAUAGUUGAGGCCUCUCCCUUUCUUUGUUGGCGGAGAGAAGCCAUAAAGGAGGAGCCUAGUUGAAGGAAAAAGUCACAAGAAAGAAAGAUCUCACGAAUCUUUUUAUCUUUUGAUAACAGUUACACCCACAAUCUUGGCUUUUUCAAAGAAAAGGCAGACAAGAUCAUACCAUAACACUUUUACUUUGAAACUUACCAUUUGAAGGAUUCCCUUUAUUUAUUUAUCCUCUUAUCCCAUAUGUUUCCAGUCGUAGGUAUGGUAUUUGCUUUUUAGGCUGAGAUGUAUUAUAUGUGGUCUUUUUCAGGCUUUUGACUCAGAUGAAGCGCAAAAAGGAUUGGUUCCUGUAUCAUCCGUGAGAGUAAAAGAAUGGUGGAACGUGCAAGGGAAAAAAUCCUUGUGCUCUCUGUGGGAAAAUAGGAGGCAAUUUCACUAGUGUUGGGACCCAACAACACAAUCCUUGUAAACUAAAAGAGGCUGUGGCAGCUCAAAGCAAAGCAACCAAUGAGUGGAUAACAGAGAGGGACUCACUGCUUCUUCAGAUAGAAUCAUCUGGAGUGGUCCAUUUAUUUUUAUUACUACUUACUAUCUCUUUGGCACGAGUUACUUUCAGUUUCUUCAAGAUUAGGAUCAUUCUUCAAUGGAGCCAGCAAUAGUAAUCAGAAAGGUAUAAAAAUGUUAUGGAGAAGGAUUAAAAAAGAAAAGAGAGAGAGAGAGAGAGAGACUGGUGACAAAAGGUGGCCCAGUGGAGAUUGUGCACCCAUUAGAAAUCUCGAGUGUAGGAGUAGGGUCAAAGAGAGAUGAUGGUUUGACCAGUCCAGUUUUGAACAGAGAGUGAAGAAAGAAGUUGGGCUCUUCUCAACUCCAUUGGUGCGGUGGUGGGCAUUGCAGAAUGAGGUGUGUGAACUGAAAACAGAGUUGGUGGAAAUGGUUGGUCUCUAGAAGCAGAGGAGAAGCGACCAGAGAGCACUAGCGGGAGAGUCGUGGGGCAUAGCUUGUCCCAAGCAAAAUCUUGGUCCCAAUAUAAAAUAUGCCUUUGAACAUUUGUCAGCCAAAGUGUCGAAGGGACGGCUAUGGUGGUGUUGGAAGUGGAUUGGUCCACGACUGUGACCUCUCUGCUGACUUGUCACCUUAUACUAUAAUUGGUGCGUUCUUCCCACCUUCACGUGGCUUUGUUCCCCCAUUAACGUUUUUUUUUCCACCUCAAAAAAAAUAAAAGUGUGUGUUGUGUCUACCUCUCUCGUUUUCUUUUUACAGUUUGGAAGAUAUUAUUAUAUGAUUCUGUUUUUCAAAGAAAAAGACUACUGGAGUAUGAUCCGCUUUUCUUUGCAUAUUUUUGAAAAUUACAAAUCACAAGUUUUUCUUUGAUCAUCUUU
rnacentral:lncRNA from 1 species